rnacentral:rRNA from 1 species
AACGAACGCUGGCGGCAUGCCUAACACAUGCAAGUCGAACGAGACCUUCGGGUCUAGUGGUGCACGGGUGCGUAACGCGUGGGAACCUGCCCUUAGGUUCGGAAUAACUCCCCGAAAGGGGUGCUAAUACCGGACAAUGUCUUCGGACCAAAGAUGUAUCGCCUUUGGAUGGGCCCGCGUUGGAUUAGCUAGUUGGUAGGGUAAAAGCCCACCAAGGCGACGAUCCAUAGCUGGCCUGCGAGGAUGAUCAGCCACACUGGAGCUGAGACACGGCCCAGACUCCUACGGGAUGGAGCAGUGGGGAAUAUUGGACAAUGGGCUAUGUCCUGAUCCAGCAAGGCCGCGUGAGUGAUGAAGGCCUUAGGGUUGUAAAGCUCUUUUACCCGGGAUGAUAAUGACAGUACCGGGAGAAUAAGCUCCGGCUAACUCCGUG